rnacentral:tRNA from 1 species
AGGCAGUUAAUCUAAUCAAGAUGACUGAUUUCGACUCAGUAAAUUCCAGUUAAACUCCGGAACAGCCUU